CGGCAGGCCUAACACAUGCAAGUCGAACGAACUCUUCGGAGUUAGUGGCGGACGGGUGAGUAACACGUGGGAACGUGCCUUUAGGUUCGGAAUAACUCAGGGAAACUUGUGCUAAUACCGAAUGUGCCCUUCGGGGGAAAGAUUUAUCGCCUUUAGAGCGGCCCGCGUCUGAUUAGCUAGUUGGUGAGGUAAUGGCUCACCAAGGCGACGAUCAGUAGCUGGUCUGAGAGGAUGAUCAGCCACAUUGGGACUGAGACACGGCCCAAACUCCUACGGGAGGCAGCAGUGGGGAAUCUUGCGCAAUGGGCGAAAGCCUGACGCAGCCAUGCCGCGUGAAUGAUGAAGGUCUUAGGAUUGUAAAAUUCUUUCACCGGGGACGAUAAUGACGGUACCCGGAGAAGAAGCCCCGGCUAACUUCGUGCCAGCAGCCGCGGUAAUACGAAGGGGGCUAGCGUUGCUCGGAAUUACUGGGCGUAAAGGGAGCGUAGGCGGACAUUUAAGUCAGGGGUGAAAUCCCGGGGCUCAACCUCGGAAUUGCCUUUGAUACUGGGUGUCUUGAGUAUGAGAGAGGUGUGUGGAACUCCGAGUGUAGAGGUGAAAUUCGUAGAUAUUCGGAAGAACACCAGUGGCGAAGGCGACACACUGGCUCAUUACUGACGCUGAGGCUCGAAAGCGUGGGGAGCAAACAGGAUUAGAUACCCUGGUAGUCCACGCCGUAAACGAUGAUUGCUAGUUGUCGGGAUGCAUGC
rnacentral:rRNA from 1 species